GGUAGAACGGUAUGGAACGGAACGGAGCAUGGCACUAACAAUGCCAAGAUUAGGGGUUCGAUUCCCACUGGAGCUGCCCA